GCACUAGCUACGGCAGUACAUAUGCUAAAAUUGGAACAGUAUAGAGAUUAGCAUGGCCCCUGCGCAAGGAUAACAUCCAAAUUCUUGAAGCGUUUCAUAUUCUU